AGCAAGGAUGGAGAAUUGGCUCUUGGAACAGAUCCUAUCAAAGAAACUCAACAGCGCUGGGAAAGCAAGACCCUUCAGCACUUCUUGGAACCAAGUGUCAGUCCUCAGAAUCCUGCCUUUUCUUCAGUGUACACACUCGGGCAAACAACAGCUCAGCAGCAGCUAUUUCAAGCCUUGUAAAACUCACCCAGAGAUGCAGAAUGAUUGAACCCGCAAGUCGCAAGUCUCGCUGUAGCUCGAAAACAGAGGGGGAAGGUCCUUAGAUGCAUACUCUUGUCAUUGAAUAAAACUUUACAACACUCA